UACGGAGGGUGCGAGCGUUGUUCGGAAUUACUGGGCGUAAAGGGCGCGUAGGCGGCGUAACAAGUCAGGUGUGAAAGUCCAGGGCUUAACCCUGGAAGUGCAUCUGAAACUGUUAUGCUUGAGUAUCGGAGAGGAAAGUGGAAUUCCCGGUGUAGAGGUGAAAUUCGUAGAUAUCGGGAGGAACACCUGAAGCGAAGGCGACUUUCUGGACGAAUACUGACGCUGAGGCGCGAAAGCGUGGGGAGCAAACAGG
rnacentral:rRNA from 1 species